rnacentral:rRNA from 1 species
GACGAACGCUGGCGGCGUGCCUAAUACAUGCAAGUCGAGCGAAGUUUUUCUGGUGCUUGCACUAGAAAAACUUAGCGGCGAACGGGUGAGUAACACGUAAAGAACCUGCCUCAUAGACUGGAACAACUAUUGGAAACGAUAGCUAAUACCGGAUAACAGUAUUUCUCGCAUGAGAGAUAUUUAAAAGUUGGUUAUGCUAACACUAUGAGAUGGCUUUGCGGUGCAUUAGCUAGUUGGUGGGGUAAAGGCCCACCAAGGCGACGAUGCAUAGCCGACCUGAGAGGGUGAUCGGCCACACUGGGACUGAGACACGGCCCAGACUCCUACGGGAGGCAGCAGUAGGGAAUCUUCCGCAAUGGGCGAAAGCCUGACGGAGCAACGCCGCGUGAGUGAAGAAGGAUUUCGGUUCGUAAAGCUCUGUUGUUAGGGAAGAAUGGAUAUGUAGUAACUAUACAUGUAAGAGACGGUACCUAACCAGAAAGCCACGGCUAACUACGUG